GACAGAGGGGGCAAGCGUUGCUCGGAAUUACUGGGCGUAAAGGGCGCGUAGGCGGAAUGGCAAGUCGGUCGUGAAAUCCUUCGGCUCAACCGAAGAACGUCGAUCGAAACUUCCGUUCUUGAGGAUUGCAGAGGAGACUGGAAUUCCCGGUGUAGCGGUGAAAUGUGUAGAUAUCCGGAGGAACACCGGUGGCGAAGGCGGCUUCCUGGACCGACACUGACGCUGAGGCGCGAAAGCUAGGGGAGCAAACGGG
rnacentral:rRNA from 1 species